CUGGUCUUCCUGCCUCAGCUUCCUAAGUAGCUGAAUUGUAAAAUUUGUGCCUGGCUCAUAAAAAUGUAUUUACAUCAUAAUUGGGUAUUUUUUAUAGUUGUAGACAGACACAAUACCUAUGUUUUUAUGUGGUGCUGAGGAUUGAACCCAGUGCCUCAUAUGCAAGGCAAGUGCUCUACAGUUGAGCCACAACCCUCGCCCCAAUAAUCGGGUAUUUUUUUAUGUUGUAGUCUUAGCAUUGACUCCUAGAAAUUUAGUAAUUUAUUAAUAUUUCAGCUUCUGAUAGUGUUUCAUGAAGGUUAUCACUUGCCACACAACUGGUUUUAUGUACAUGUGAGAUUCUAGUUUUGUUUAUUUUUAAUACAUAUGUAUAUUUGCUGUCCCCCACCUCCACUCCCAAUAGUGGAAAUUGAACCCAGGGGUAUUUUACCAUUGAGUUUUGAGUUGGGGUCUUGCCAAGUUACAGAGGCUAGCCUUAUGCUUGUUAUCCUCCUGGUUCAGUCUCCUGGAGUUGCUGGGAUUGCAGGUGUGACUACCACACCCAGCCAAUUUAUAUUUCUGAGGAAUCUUCUGUUCCCAGGACAGCCUUAUUAGUGGGCCCAAGCAGUUCUGCCUCAGCCUCCUGAAUAACUGGUACUGGGGGCAUUGUGUCAUUGUGCCCAGCUAUAACAUAAUGUUCCUUUAUUUUGGGGGGUAUAUAUCAAAAGUUGGGGUCCUUUUAAAGUAAUAGUUCCCCCCCCCCACCCCCUACCAUUAUUGUUAAUUCUCUAGAUACUCCCUCUGUAUAUACAAAUCUUUCAAGAGUACUAAGCUGUGGAGAAGCAAAAUGGUAAUCUUUGGUUCCUGAACAUUCCUGGAAUAUCCAUUGUACCUGUGUCCUGUUAUAAGAGGGAUUCUAGUGUGAAUGGUAAAGGAUUAGAUAUAUCUCAAAGUAUUCUCUUGCUCAAGGAGAAAGAACAAGUGGCUUGAUUUAGUAGUUUCCAUCUUUGGAGGGUAUUGUAUAUUUUCAAACCUGUGCCAUACUUUGCUUAGGAGGGGGAUUUAACUGCAUGAAUUGGGAUAGAGGACACUAGCUUGCAAGGUAUAAACAGUUUCAAAACCUUAAGGAAUGCUGUUUAAGACCAUUCCUGAAGUUAAAGAUGACUUUCUCCAAUGAUUUAAAAAAUACAAUAACUGUUCCCUGACCUCCCUCCAUAAUAAGCUUUCUUCACCUUCAGUACUAGGGAUUUAAUCCAGAGGCACUCUCCCCUACAGUUUUUUGUUUGAGACAGUGUCUUGCAAAUUCCUCCAGGGUGACACCAAAUUGAGAUUCUUCUGCCUCAGCUUCCUGAUUUGCUAGGAUUACAAGUGUGCACCACCAUGUUCAGCUAACAUGCAGAGUUUAAAUGAGCCACAAAGUACCUGGAUGCUAUGUUUGGCUGACAAUGUUACUUUGCAUUCAAUCCACCUAUGGGUUUCUAAAAGAAAUUUGUAAUAUAUGGAUAUUGGGGGCUUGUAGGUACCAGGACUCCUAACAAUUGUGCAUAUGGGUUCGUUUUAGUAACAACUAGCUUCAUGGUUUCACUUAGUUCCCCCCAAAGUAUUUACCCCCUUAGGUUUUUGCAAUGAACCCUUUAAAAGUGUCACCAUAAUGCAGUUCUGUUACAAAAUGAAGACUCCUG
rnacentral:lncRNA from 1 species